rnacentral:rRNA from 1 species
GAUGAACGCUGGCGGCGUGCUUAACACAUGCAAGUCGAACGGUGAACGAGGGAGCUUGCUCCCUCCGGAUCAGUGGCGAACGGGUGAGUAACACGUGAGCAAUCUGCCCUGGACUCUGGGAUAAGCGUUGGAAACGACGUCUAAUACCGGAUACGAGGCGUGGGGGCAUCCCCAACGCCUGGAAAGAACUUCGGUCCAGGAUGAGCUCGCGGCCUAUCAGCUAGUUGGUGAGGUAACGGCUCACCAAGGCGAGGAAGGGUAGCCGGCCUGGGAAGGUGACCGGCCAAGCUGGAACGGAGACACGGCCCAGACUCCUACGGGAGGCAGCAGUGGGGAAUAUUGAACAAUGGGCGCAAGCCUGAUGCAGCAACGCCGCGUGAGGGACGACGGCCUUCGGGUUGUAAACCUCUUUUAGUAGGGAAGAAGCGAAAGUGACGGUACCUGCAGAAAAAGCACCGGCUAACUACGUGCCAGCAGCCGCAGUAAGAC